rnacentral:lncRNA from 1 species
GGGGGUUCCCAGACUGGGCCUUGUUUGGGAUUCUCUGUAUGCUUGAUGAGUUUUGUGUUGUUCCAUAGUGCUUCCAUGUUGGAUGUGUAGCACUCCUCUGCUAGUCCCAUGGACAUCUUCCCCUCUUUUGUCUCUUUUGUGUUCAUGGAUUCUUUCAGCCAGCAUGCGUCCCGUGGGGCCGAUGUGUUUCUUUUCUUGGCCUGUGCUUUUGUCUCUUGCCAGGAUGCUGUGCACUCCUGACUUGCAGGGAGGGGUCCCCAGGUGGAAUCUGCUGAUUUUGAUGAGGCUUAGUAGGGUUGUAGAGUGG